ensembl:snRNA U6 U6 spliceosomal RNA
GUGUUCACUCAGGCAGCAUAUACAUUAAAACUGAAACAAUACAGAGAUUAGCCUGGCCCUUGUGCAAGGAUGACAUGAAAAUUAAUAAAAUUCAUAAAGCAUUA